CGCAGUAGCAAUACUGAGUGGCAAACGAGUGAGUAUAAUGUGGGAAUCUGCCUUUUGGUUUGGAAUAACACGGGGAAACUUGUGCUAAUACCGAAUAAGCCCUUACGGGGAAAGUUUUAACGCCGAAAGAUGAGCCCGCACUUGAUUAGCUAGUUGGUAAGGUAAAAGCCUACCAAGGCAAUGAUCAAUAGCUGUUCUUAGAGGAAGACCAGCCACAUUGGGACUGAGACACGGCCCAGACUC
rnacentral:rRNA from 1 species